rnacentral:ribozyme from 1 species
UUUUUUUUUUUUUUUUUUUUUUUUUUCA